UGUGGGGAUUAUUUUCCUCAUCAUCUCUUCAUCUAGAUCAGCAAAGGAAACUCUUAUAUUUAUUACUAGUAUGUGUGUGUGUGUGUGUGUGUGUGUGUGUGUGUGUGUGUGUGUGUGUGUGUGUGUGUGUGUGUGUGUGUGUGUGUGUGUGUGUGUGUGUGUGUGUGUGUGUGUGU